AUGUUGCAUGUAUUUUUCAGGUAUCAUAAACAUGCACUUUGGCAAGUUUGGGAGUGUCUGCUUUUUCCGCUGCAGUUUUUGAGAUGCAACAGCUCCUGUCCAUUGGCAGGUGACUACUUCAUCAAGCCGACUUUUCACUGGGAUAGAAGAACCAGAAAAUGAACCUGGCACUAGAAGCUUGCAUUCUUUCCUCAGCUAGGAAAGUGAUGGGUCUCUCCAGAUCAAGAUUCACCAAAGGUAAGUAUUUACAGGAUUUUCCUACAGGGAAAAGGGCUGCUAGAGUGGACCAUUACUGGUGGAGUGAGUGGUAAAUUGAUAAGAUAUAAAAACAGGAUACAAAAAAGAAGGUUCUUCAGUGUGGUAUGAGUGAUAUGGUAGAUAGCAUAUUAAUGGUAAGUUUGACAGAUGAUAACGUACUGCAUAGUGCAACCUCUGAAGUAAAAAUGGGCACACAUUUCUCAAAAAAAUACAGAUAUUGUUCUGUGGUGUUGACAUCCUCCUAAUAGUCAUAUCUGUUCACAGAAGUCAUAUCUGAGAAGAGAAAAUAACAUUUUUGUUUUAUAUGACUUGACAUCUUCAGAAGACUCAACAGGGGAAGAUUUGGUAAUUCUAAAACUAACAGCAUUGUAUAAUUAAAGCACUAAGGAGGUGGAAAAGCUCAACUAUAUAAUGAUGAAUGACUUUCAGACAUUUGUGAUGACACAUCUGCGCUGCAGCCUUGAAAAACCGGAUUUUAUUACAGAUCGUUAUCAUUACUUCUGAGCUGCUUUUAGGAGAGCUCUUAUCUCCAGUGUUCUCCAGCCAGCUACUUGACAAAGCACCCCUCACAUACUGACUUUCAAGGUGCUUUGGCAAAUCAUAAUUGGCUAAUUUUGAAGUGUUUUUAUCAGUAUUUG
rnacentral:lncRNA from 1 species